rnacentral:lncRNA from 1 species
UCCUCGAUAAAACUAUCAAAAUUGUCUAUUUCUAGGAUACGUUAUUCAAUAUAUGUGAUUAUAUUUUAUUGAAUAUAACAAUUCAAAUGGUUAUUUGCCAACUCAAUUUCAUAAAGUUUUACACUUAGGCCCUGUUUGGAUGCAUAGUUAAAAAACUCCAUGGAAUUUUUAUUCUAUGGUUUUGGUCUAAAUGAAAUAUGGAAUCCUGUAACUACAAAAAAAUUCCAUAGCUUUAUUUUUAAGCUGUUUGGAUACAUAUCAUACAAUUCCACAGUAUUUAUAACAAUUAAAUUUCUAAAAUUUUAUAAUUCAAAAUUCAAAACUCAAAAUUCAAAAUUCAAAAUUUAAAAAUAAAAUUUUAAAAAUUAAAAAUAAAAAUUCAAAAUAUAAAAUUAAAAUUUAAAAUUUAAAAUUUAAAAAGUAAAUUAGAUUUUAUGUUUUAAAUUUGAAAUUUGAAAUUUGGAAUUUGAAAUUUCAAAUUUGAAAUUUGAAACUUUAAAAUUUAAAACUUAAAGUAUACCAUUUAAACUUUAAAUUUUGAAAUUUAAAAAAUCUAUAAUUAAAAUUUUAAAUUUCAAAUUUAAUAAUUUAUAAAUUUACAUAUUUAUAAAUUUAAAAUUUUAAAUUUAAGUUUAAAUUUAAAUUUUGAAGAUUGAAAAUUAAAAAUUAAAAAUAAAAUUAAAAUUUGAAAUUUGAAAUUUGAAAUUUGAACUUUUUGAAAUUUGAAAUUUGAAAUUUGAACUUUUUGAAAUUUGAAAUUUGAAAUUUGAAAUUUGAAAUUUGAAAUUUGAAAUUUGAAAUUUGAAAUUUGAAGUUUUUGAAAUUUGAAAUUUAAAAUUUAAAAUUUGAAGUUUUUGAAAUUUAAAAUUUGAAAUUUAAAAUUUAAAAUUUAAAAUCAAAAUUAAAUUUGAAUUUUAAAAUUUUAAAAUUUGAAAUCUAAAAUUUUAGGUUGAAAUUUAAAAUUUAAAAAUUGAUACAUCUUUCGGAGCCCAAAAUGGUGGAAUUUUUUUCCUUUGGUUAAAGUGGAUUGUAAGUUUACUCCAUUUUUUGGAGUAUAGUAUAACUAUACUCCAAAAAUUACGUAAUUUUUUUUUCUUCCAAACGCUUCAUAGGAUUAUUUUCCUACCAGCGUAGCAUAGUUUAACUAUGCUACGUUUUUAGAGGUAUCCAAACGGGGCCUUAAUUUUAUUGGUAAGUAAAAAUUUUCGGAUCUGUUUGAUGCAGU